rnacentral:rRNA from 1 species
GAUGAACGCUGGCGGCGUGCCUAAUACAUGCAAGUCGAGCGAACGUACUAGAAGCUUUCUUCUCUGAUGUUAGCGGCGGACGGGUGAUUAACAAGUGGAGAGUCUCCCUUGAGGACUGUGAUUAUUUCGAGAAACCGGAGCUAAUACCGGAUAAUAAUUUGAACCUCAUGGUUCAAAAGUGAAAGACGGUCUUGCUGUCACUUAUUGAUGGAUCAGUGCUGCAUUAUCUAAUUGGUAAGGUAAUGGCUUACAAAGGUAACGAUGCAUAGCCGACCUGAGAGGAAGAUGCACCACACUGGAACUGAGACACGGCCCAGACUCCUAAGGGAGGCCACAGUACGGAAUCUUACGCAAAGGACGAAAGCCUGACGGAGCAACGCCGAGUGAGUGAUGAAGGUCUUAGGCUCGUAAAACUCUGUUAGUAGGGAAGAACAUAUGUGUAAGUAACUGUGCACAUAUUGACGGUAACUAAGCAGAAAGCCACGGCUAAAUACGUG